ACGGGUGCGGAACACGUACGCAACCUUCCUUCAAGCGGGGAAUAGCCCAGAGAAAUUUGGAUUAAUACCCCAUAAGAAUGUGACCUGGCAUCAGGUAGCAUUUAAAGAUUUAUCACUUGAAGAUGGGCGUGCGUAUGAUUAGGUAGUUGGUGAGGUAACGGCUCACCAAGCCGACGAUCAGUAACUGGCGUGAGAGCGCGACCAGUCACACGGGCACUGAGACACGGGCCCGACUCCUACGGGAGGCAGCAGUAAGGAAUAUUGGUCAAUGGACGCAAGUCUGAACCAGCCAUGCCGCGUGGAGGAUGAAGGCCCUCUGGGUUGUAAACUUCUUUUAUUUGGGACGAAACACUUCAUUUCUAUGGAGCUUGACGGUACCAGAUGAAUAAGCACCGGCUAACUCCGUGCCAGCAGCCGCGGUAAUACGGAGGGUGCAAGCGUUAUCCGGAUUCACUGGGUUUAAAGGGUGCGUAGGCGGACCUGUAAGUCCGUGGUGAAAUCUCCAAGCUUAACUUGGAAAACUGCCAUGGAUACUAUAUGUCUUGAAUGUUGUGGAGGUUAGCGGAAUAUGUCAUGUAGCG
rnacentral:rRNA from 1 species